GACAGCGGGGGCAAGCGUUGCUCGGAAUCACUGGGCGUAAAGGGCGCGUAGGCGGGAUGGCAAGUCAGUCGUGAAAUCUCUCGGCUCAACCGAGAAACGUCGGCUGAUACUGCCGUUCUUGAGGGAUGCAGAGGAGACUGGAAUUCCCGGUGUAGCGGUGAAAUGUGUAGAGAUCGGGAGGAACACCGGUGGCGAAGGCGGGUCUCUGGGCAUCUCCUGACGCUGAGGCGCGAAAGCGUGGGGAGCAAACGGG
rnacentral:rRNA from 1 species